rnacentral:rRNA from 1 species
AAUCAACGCUGGCGGCGUGCCUCAGACAUGCAAGUCGAACGAUUAAAGCUCUCUUCGGAGAGUGUAUAGAGUGGCGCACGGGUGAGUAACACGUAAGUAAUCUACCCUCGAGUGGGGAAUAACAACCGGAAACGGUUGCUAAUACCGCAUAAUGCAGCGGCACCGCAAGGUGACAGUUGUUAAAGAUUUAUCGCUUGAGGAGGAGCUUGCGGCAGAUUAGCUAGUUGGUAGGGUAACGGCUUACCAAGGCUACGAUCUGUAACCGGUCUAAGAGGACGGUCGGUCACACUGACACUGAAUAACGGGUCAGACUCCUACGGGAGG